CGUAACAAGGUCUCCGUUGGUGAACCAGCGGAGGGAUCAUUACCGAGUUUACAACUCCCAAACCCAUGUGAACAUACCUAUUGUUGCUUCGGCGGGAUUGCCCCGGGCGCCUCGUGUGCCCCGGAUCAGGCGCCCGCCUAGGAACUUUAACUCUUGUUUUAUUUUGAAUCUUCUGAGUAGUUUUUACAAAUAAAUAAAAACUUUCAACAACGGAUCUCUUGGUUCUGGCAUCGAUGAAGAACGCAGCGAAAUGCGAUAAGUAAUGUGAAUUGCAGAAUUCAGUGAAUCAUCGAAUCUUUGAACGCACAUUGCGCCCGCCAGUAUUCUGGCGGGCAUGCCUGUCUGAGCGUCAUUUCAACCCUCAUGCCCCUAGGGCGUGGUGUUGGGGAUCGGCCAAAGCCCGCGAGGGACGGCCGGCCCCUAAAUCUAGUGGCGGACCCGUCGUGGCCUCCUCUGCGAAGUAGUGAUAUUCCGCAUCGGAGAGCGACGAGCCCCUGCCGUUAAACCCCCAACUUCCAAGGUGACCUCAGAUCA
rnacentral:rRNA from 1 species